GUAAUAUCCUAAAAUAUGGAAAAUCAUCUUGAUAGGCUACUAGUAACAGAAUGAAAAUAUCAAAGGGCUGCUUUUGAUGCAGAAAAGGAGGUAUUCUCAAAUUGAAUUAAGCUGUGGGUCUUGCUAUGCAAAGCAACACGCACCAAAGCAAUGAAUGGAAAAAGCAGCAUACUCUAUCUUUAGGCAACACAGCUCACUAAUCCAGAUGCUUUGCCAAACACCUAGGAUACAAGAAAACAAAACAAUUAAGAGUAACAACAACAAAUAACAACAAAAGAAGAAA